GUAUUCAUUAUUGUCUGUAUUGAGCUUUUGAACAGCCAUAUUAAUUCCCUUAUCAUAUUGUUAGAUUUGACAGUCGGAACAGGGUCGGAAGAGGCAAGUUUAGUUGAGCAUCGUGAAGAAUUAUACACAUUUCCCAACAUGUCUAUGACAAAGAAACAUCGUGAGAUUCUUCUGAAGGUUACUCCUGAUCUUCUGAACGAUUUGGAUGCAGGUGAUAUAGUGCCACACCUUCUAGCAGAUGAUAUAAUCAAACGACAUGAUGCUGAAAAAGUCAAAGCUGAAACAACCCGAAGAGAUAAAGUAUCAGCGCUUCUGGAUAUCAUACCGACGAGAGGGGAUAAAGCCUAUGGGUCAUUUAUGGAGUGCCUUAAGAAGAUGGAAGGUUCGACUCAUCUCUAUCAUAUAAUGAAGAAAUACGAAGACACUUACCAAGAGCAUUCUGGUCCUACUAUACAUGAAGAAUAUACGCCGCCUAAUCAAGGGAGUGGACAUAUGCCUACUGUUACUCAAAGGGAUGUCAAUCUGACGAUUAAUGCAUCGGGACAUUCAGUUGUAAAGAAUAUGUCCCUAACUGGGCAAAGUAACGUGUUUAAUAAAUAAAUGCUCUAAAACAUAGUAAAUGUCAUUUUUUAAUUAUACGUUACCCACUCUAUUUUGAUCAUGUACUUGGCCUAUAAUGAGUAUGACUGUUCAUCGAUAAUUUUAUUUUUCUAAAAGGUGACUUCGACGUUUAAAAAUUGACAAAAGUGAAAAUUAAGCAUAAAAGCAAAUAUGAUUCAUAUUGGCUAAUAUUGAGAAGACCAUAAGUUUAAAAUUCUUUGGCUGACAUUUACACCCAGUACUGCUGUAACAUUUUCAGGAAGUUUGUUUCCACGAGUUAGUUAAUUCAGUACAGCACGGAAUUAUCCUUCGUUUUUUUUUUCUUUUUGUAUAGAAAAAUUGUGUGGUAAAUAAAAACAAUUUAGGCAAUGAUUGUAUGCAUAUAUUCAGUUUAAAGUCUGUUUAUAUGUAUACAAAUCUCUAAAUCAAUUAGCGCCUGAAUAUCUUAAUAAUACCAUCAAAUUAUACACACCCUCUCGAAAUCUUCGUUCAAUCACUGACACAUGCAGACUUUGCAUUCCCUUGUCAAAACUCUCCUCUGCCGAAAAAAACGUUUUGCUGUAGCAGCUGCCAAGACUUGGAUGCUAUCCCUCUUUAUAAGAAAUGCUUCCAGCGUUCUUGGCUUCAAAUCUGCACUUAAUACAUACCUUUUUCCUCAAUAAUUAAUUUCCCUUUUUAUCUUGAAUAUUCUAUAAUUAUUAUUAUUCAUACAUUGUACGCGCUAUGGUACUUUUUGUUUUUAGCGCCUCUAAAUAUCCAGUAUCAUUAUUAUUAUAUCUUUUAGGAUUCAGGGGCAUAUGCUCUCAAUAUGGUUUGAAAUUGCUUUGGUACACAUAAAUAUAGGCACGUCAAAAUGAAAUUAGUUAAAAACUAGACUUGUGUCUUUCAAGCAGGUUUGUUUUGGUUUCAAAUUCAGUCAUUUUUUCACAUUUGUAACUUUAUUUCUUUUGAAGGAUACAACUUUAAUUUAACUUCGAGUAUAAUAAAAAUGAUUUUCAACUAUGUUA